rnacentral:rRNA from 1 species
GACGAACGCUGGCGGCGUGCUUAACACAUGCCAGUCGAACGGUUCUGCCCUGCUUUUUUGUUGUACUCGAGUGGCGAGCGGGUUGGUAACACGUGAGUAACCUGCCCUUUACUUUGGGCUAACUUCAGGAAACUCGGUCUAAUACCGGUUAUGAUCUCCUGCUGCAUGUUGUGGCUCGUAAAGUUUCGGUGGUCGGGGAUGGCCUCUCGGGUUAUUAGCUUGUUGGUGGGGUAGUGGCUUACCAAGUCUUUGACGGGUAGCCGGCCUGGGCGGGGCACCGGCCACAUUGGGACUGAGAGAGGGACCAGAAGCGUACGGGAGGCAGCGGUGGGGAGUAUUGCAGAAUGGGCGGAAGCCAGAGGCAGAAACGCCGGGUGCGGGAUGACGGGCUUCGGGAGGUAAACCGGGUUGGCAGGUGACGAAGGGUGAGUGACGGUAAUGGGUAAAAAAGCAACGGCUAACUACGUG